rnacentral:rRNA from 1 species
AUGGAGCCAACACAAAAAGGCACAAAAUACACACGAGAAAGGCAAAAAUAUGCAAAUAUGCAUCGAAAACAAAAGAAAGCUAGAAUAGAGCAAAUUAGAUCUAACAGUGAAUUGAGGCGCAACGGACUAAGCAGAAGAUUCAAUUCGAUGGAGAAUCCUGCAUAUGUGAUAUGUCGCAGCAGAACUGGAACAAAUAGACAAAACAAAAAACCCUAUAGUUUUUGGCAAUUAACCUGCAAUACUACUUUAAGUGACAUGAAGAAAAUGUUUCAAUUUUUACACAAAGCCCCCUGCAGUUUCAAAAAUCAACCCACAGUCCAUAUCAUAUGUUUUUAA